rnacentral:rRNA from 1 species
UAAUACGGAGGGUGCAAGCGUUAUCCGGAUUCACUGGGUUUAAAGGGUGCGUAGGCGGGUUUGUAAGUCAGUGGUGAAAUCCCCGAGCUUAACUUGGGAACUGCCAUUGAUACUGCAAGUCUUGAAUUUUCUGGAGGUAAGCGGAAUAUGUCAUGUAGCGGUGAAAUGCUUAGAUAUGACAUAGAACACCCAUUGCGAAGGCAGCUUACUACGGGAAUAUUGACGCUGAGGCACGAAAGCGUGGGGAUCAAACAGG